rnacentral:lncRNA from 1 species
GGCUCUGCCCGGGACCUGGAUCCCUUGCGUCAGCAGGCCCACGCGUGUCCGCGAGCGCCGGUGGCAAAGUCUGCUUCGCUGGAGCAUCCGGGCAAGCGGUGACUUUGCUGGCCGCUGGGGCGUAGGGCUCGCAUCCUUCCUCCUUCCAGUAGCUCUCUACUCCAUAGCUGAGGACCGCUUCUCUCACCAGCGGAGAGGAGACCCUGGGACCGCCAACCGUCUGUGGGUUAUUAAGGGACCUGCGAUUGUCCAUCCGCCUCAUCCUUCCGCUCAGCUCAGCUCAGCAAGCUGCAUCCGUGAGUAACCUCGCUUGAACACUCUGGCCCAUAGAGGCUGCUCCUGGUGGUGAGGCCCAUGCUGGGCCUGUCCCCGACUCCCCUCCCCUUCCGACAGUUUCUUCCCUUUGUAGUGUCACCCUUGGUAAGAGUGGAAGACUGGCUAGAAGAAAGGACCUGAACCAACGCUUAGUCCACAUCCCCAUUGUGUUUUGAGCGGGGUGGACAGGCCAGCCCCUGCUGCAGACACCCUGGAUACAUCUCUUUGAGCUCAGCAGUAUUGCAGCGGCAGUGGACACCUGAUAAGCUUCCCAGGAGUGGUGUGGAGUCACUGUCAACACUAGAGCACUUUGUCUGGAAUGGCUCUCACGUGGCUCCUGAAUGGUCAGAGAUGUGUCUUGGAUUCUCCUGCCCUCCUGAGGAUCUUGCCUAUGGAAGGUCUAAGUUACCUACUUUCACUAUUAAGUUGAACAAGGACUCCCAAACCCAACAGCCAUCAAGGUUGUUGGCCAACUAGUUACAAAGCACAGCAGCCGGCUGUUCCUGGCCUAGGAGGAAAGCCAGGUGUGCAGGACGCUGGGCCUGUGGGAUGAGUGGGCGAGUCCCGCUGGCAGAAAAGGCCCUGUCAGAAUCCUAUGCCCGCCUCCGGUACAGGGAUACGUCCUUGCUCAUUUGGCAACAAGAGCAGCAGAAGUUGGAGUCUGUACCACCUAGUACAUACCUGAGCAGAAGCCGCAGCAUGUGGUACUCCCAGUAUGGAAAUGAGGCCAUCUUAGUUCGAGACAAAAACCAGCUUGGGGUCUCUAGGGACACUGGCCAGUCUAAGUUUUGCUCAAUCAUGUAAUUCCAGGGAGAAGACCCUUGAUGGCCAUGAAGAUCAAGCCGUGGUAUAAAAACGCAACACCCAAGAAUGUCAUCCAACACUUUAUUAGGGGCACAACAGGUACCUAGAUGCUCCUCUCACUGCCCAAGCCCAGGAAAUGCUUCCAAACAAAAGGGAAGCAAGAGAGACACACACCCCGACCCUCACCUGCUGUGAGCUGCUGCCUGAUAUAGAAUGGAUCAGGUCCAGGGUAAGGAGGUGACUCUUCUUGCAGGGUCCCAGAUCUGUCAGCUCACUGCAGUGGCAUGUGAAAGGGGGGCAGUGCUGGUAGUGACAUUACUGCGUUGUGAUAGCAUCCACACUAGCCACCAGAUGUGGCCUCUUAUAUAGGUGUGUCCUUAAGCAAAAUGUGCCCCGAAGUGAUUCCAAGCCUAAUCGAGUGUGGGGAAAGUGGAUUCUGAUGGUGACGAAUCGGAUCCUCUCUUCUACCAGGCUGCGAAGGCACUCAUUUAGAGGCUAGCACUUCCCCCCCCCCCCAUGGCUAUGCAAAUGUGGGGAUGCAUUUUGUCAAAACUGAGCUUUCUAAAUAAACAUCUUAAAAACUCUUCCCUUUCUCAUUUUUCUUGUGUAAAACCUU